rfam:Dipodomys ordii contig_72682, whole genome shotgun sequence.
GCCAGGAGGUUGAACAUCCUGCAUAGUGCUGCCAGGAAAACCCUAUUCCAUACUAAGAGGGAGCUGGCUGUUUGCAUAUGUAGGAUGUCCCAUCUCCUGGUCCACGUCAUCA